rnacentral:lncRNA from 1 species
AAACGCUGACUCCUAACAUCUGCCAGUUUCCGUGGUGUAGAUACUCCCGCCAGGGCCCAUUUCAAGCUCUGAGAGUGAUGUAAGCAGAGGAGGGGUGCCUGCAGGCACCUAUCCAGAGCCAAUUCCAGCUCCAGCACCCCACUGGGCGGCCAGAGAGGUUCCCGCGUACCAGGCUCCCGCCUCCGCACCUCACGUGCAUGAGCUCAUGGAAUCCUCAUCACGGCUCUACCGCACAGCUGCUUCUCUUGCCUCUGUUCCGCAGAUGGGGAAACUGAGGCACAGACAGUCUGGCUCUGGCACCUGACCACACUAUACUGCCUCUCUUUCUUGUGCUUAAAAUCAAACCCAAACGCCUCACUGUGGCGACAAGAGCUAGGCUGCAUCCCUGCAUUCGUCUCCUUCCCCAUCGUGUGUCCCACACGCACUCCUACACGCCCUUCUGGUCACACCUGGCUCCUCCUAGCACUUGUUCCUCUGCACCAUGCUGCUGGCCUUUGCCCCUUGGUUCCCUCUGCCCGGAAGGCUCUUCUCCAGCUCUGAGGUGCCGGCUUAAAGGUCACCUCCCCGGAGAGCCUUCCCUGACCACCCAUUUGCCUCUCUUUCACCUCUAUCUCUUUCCUUCCUUCCCAGUGCGUCUCACAACCAGUAGUGUUCUAUUUAUUUGCCUAACUGUUGAGCAGCGGUUCUCAGUGGGGGACAGCGGGCCAAGGGGCGAGUUGAUAUUGCAGUUGGUAAAGUCUUGAGACAUACUCAGUUUGUUGUCACAACUCAGGUGGGUACUAUUGGCCUCUAGUGGGUGGAGACCAGGGAUGCUGUUCAACAUCCUACAGUGCCCAGGAUGGCCCCCACCACAAAGAAUGGUGUGGCCCCAAACACCAAGGGUGUCAAGGUUGCACCAUUUUGCUGUCAACUGUCUCUCCCUGCUAGAAUGCAAAUUCCAGAAGGGCAUAGCCUUGAUUUUGUUCUCCACUACAUGCUCAGCUGCAAGCACAGUGCCUCACACACAGUAGGUGCCUUAGAAGUAGGUGUUAAGCGACUAAAUAAAAAAUAACACCACUCCGGAUGAGAAUAAGAACACUGAGACAGCCUUUAAAGGGUCACACGUAAGUCUUCAUGCCAGGCAGGAAAGAGGUAGGGCUGGCGGGCGGGUUCUGCUCUUCUCUCUGCUUAGCAUUGUUUUUGGCCCGAGUACAGGGAAGGUGGAGCGGGCAUUUGAUAACAUCCCCUCCUCCCCCAUCCCUACCCUCCCCAGCAGCCGGCCACUAAGCGUUGCACUUGGCUAGAGUUCCCCGUAGUAAUUUGGUUAAUUGGAUGAACAGGCACUUCAGUGACAGAGACUGGAUUUCCACACCGCAGUCCAUCAAAACUAAUCAGUUGGCUGUGUUCCAUCGCUCAGCAACUGACAGCUUCACCAGGAUGACUUGCCACCAAUGGAGUCUCUCCUGGUCUCCUGAUGCUUCUGCUCGCUAGAGAAUGUGGGGGCUAAGUUAGAAACAAGGACCUAUCAGGUGUGUUCAGAUUAACCAGCCCCUGAGGUCUGAGACUGUGUGGGGCCAGAUGGGGAAAGAGAACAGGCCUAGUCCGAAAGGGACUCACGGCUGAGUGCCGAGUGUGCAUCAGAGUUCUCCUGGUCCAGGGAUCCGCAGAGACAACGCAGACCAGGGCCCUGGGCCACCAUCUCCCGCUGGAUGAGAAGUGAGGAUGGCGGCUUCCAUCCACACCUCCACCCCCACCCCUCUUCAGGUCAUCCCUG